rnacentral:rRNA from 1 species
AUUGAACGCUGGCGGCAUGCUUUACACAUGCAAGUCGGACGAGUGGCGAACGGGUGAGUAACGCAUCGGAAAGUACCGAGAAAUGGGGGAUAACUGUCCGAAAGGACAGCUAAUACCGCAUAUUAUUCGCGCGGCCGAUGUCUGCUUAGCUGGUUGGCGGGGUUAAGGCCCACAAAGGCGACGAUCAGUAGCGGGUCUAAGUGUAUGAUCCGCUACACUGGGACGUAGACACGGACCUGAGUCCGACGGGGGGCAAGAGUGGGGAAUGUGGGACAAUGGGCGCAAGCCUGAUCCAACCAGGCCGCGUGUCUGACGAAGCCCUUCGGGUUGUAAAGGACUUUUGUCAGUGAAGCGGUACCUGAAGAAUAGGCAGCGGCUAACUACGUGCCAGCAGCCGCGGUAAUAC